rnacentral:rRNA from 1 species
CCCAUUCCGAACAGAGAAGUUAAGCCCACUUGCGCCGAUGGUACUGCAAUGCAAUGCGGGAGAGUAGGUAGCCGCCUUCU